rnacentral:rRNA from 1 species
AUACGGAGGGGGCUAGCGUUGUUCGGAAUUACUGGGCGUAAAGCGCGUGUAGGCGGAUCGUUAAGUCAGGGGUGAAAGCCCGGGGCUCAACCCCGGAACUGCCCUUGAUACUGGCGAUCUAGAGUCCGGAAGAGGUGGGCGGAAUUCCCGGUGUAGAGGUGAAAUUCGUAGAUAUCGGGAGGAACACCAGUGGCGAAGGCGGCUCACUGGUCCGGCACUGACGCUGAGACGCGAAAGCGUGGGGAGCAAACAGGAUUAGAAACCCUAGUAGUCCC